GCCAGCGUGGCGGAGCGGUCAAACGCACCCGGCUUGAGACCGGGAGCCUGAAAGGGCACGCAGGUUCAAAUCCUGUCGCUGGCG
rnacentral:tRNA from 1 species